AUUGAACGCUGGCGGCAGGCCUAACACAUGCAAGUCGAGCGAGCGGCGGACGGGUGAGUAAUGUAUGGGGACUGCCCGAUAGAGGGGGAUAAAUACUGGAAACGGUAGCUAAUACCGCAUACUAUCGGAUAACCCAUAUGGGAUUAGCUAGUAGGUGAGGUAAUGGCUCACCUAGGCGACGAUCCCUAGCUGGUCUGAGAGGAUGAUCAGCCACACCGGGACGGAGACACGGCCCAGAAUCCUUCGGAGGAAGCAGUGGGGAAUAUGGCACAAGGGGCGCAGGCCUGAUGCAGCCAAGCCGCGUGUAGGAAGAAGGACCUGAGGUUGUAAAGUACUUUCAGUCGGGAGGCGUUACCGACAGAAGAAGCACCGGCUAACUACGUGCCAGCAGCCGCGGUAAUAC
rnacentral:rRNA from 1 species